GUGGUGCAUGAAAGGAGAGAAGGCUAGCACUCCCCUUGACAAGGAUGGAAGAGGCCCUCGGGCCUGACAACACGCAUAUGGUUAAGGCAUUGCCAUCUACUUCGUGGCCUCUAACCACUGUUUUUU
ensembl:snRNA U6atac minor spliceosomal RNA